UACGAAGGGGGCGAGCGUUGUUCGGAAUUACUGGGCGUAAAGGGCGCGUAGGCGGCUCAUGAAGGCUGUGGUGAAAGUCCGGGGCUCAACCUCGGAUCGGCCGUGGCGACUCGUGGGCUGGAGCACUGUAGAGGCGGGUGGAAUUCCGGGUGUAGCGGUGGAAUGCGUAGAGAUCCGGAAGAACACCAGUGGCGAAGGCGGCCCGCUGGGCAGUGGCUGACGCUGAGGCGCGACAGCGUGGGGAGCAAACAGG
rnacentral:rRNA from 1 species